rnacentral:tRNA from 1 species
GCCACUGUGGCUUAGGCGCGGCCAGGCGCUCCAGAUAGCGACGCCUUGGUAAGGCGUAGGUCGAGGGUUCGAUUCCCUCCAGUGGCU